GUGCUUACUUCAGCAGCACAUGUACUAAAAAUUGGAACAGUACAGAGAUUAAUCAUGCUUCUCUGCUGUAGGAUGAUAUGCAGAUUUGUGAUGUGUUUUGGAUAUUU
rnacentral:snRNA from 1 species